UACGUAGGGGGCAAGCGUUGUCCGGAAUCAUUGGGCGUAAAGAGCGCGUAGGCGGUCCAGUAAGUCCGCUCUGAAAGUCCGGGGCUCAACCCCGGGAGGCGGGCGGAUACUGCUGGGCUAGAGUCCGGAAAGAGGCGAGUGGAAUUCCUGGUGUAGCGGUGAAAUGCGCAGAUAUCAGGAAGAACACCCGUGGCGAAGGCGGCUCUCUGGGACGGUACUGGACGCUGAGACGCGAAAGCGU
rnacentral:rRNA from 1 species